GUGACCAUGUACUAGGGAUGGAGAUGUGACUAGGUACUAGGGAUGGAGAUGUGACCAGGUACUAGGGAUGGAGAUGGAGAUGUGACCAUGUACUAGGGAUGGAGAUGUGACUAGGUACUAGGGAUGGAGAUGUGACCAGGUACUAGGGAUGGAGAUGAGACCAGGUACUAGGGAUGGAGAUGUGACCAGGUACUAGGGAUGGAGAUGUGACCAGGUACUUGGGAUGGAGAUGUGACCAGGUACUAGGGAUGGAGAUGUGACUAGGUGCUAGGGAUGGAGAUGUGACUAGGUGCUAGGGAUGGAGAUGUGACUAGGUACUAGGGAUGGAGAUGUGACCAGGUACUAGGGAUGGAGAUGUGACUAGGUACUAGGGAUGGAGAUGUGACCAGGUGCUAGGGAUGGAGAUGUGACUAGGUACUAGGGAUGGAGAUGUGACUAGGUACUAGGGAUGGAGAUGUGAC
ensembl:lncRNA